CCUACGGGAGGCAGCAGUGGGGAAUUUUGGACAAUGGGCGCAAGCCUGAUCCAGCCAUGCCGCGUGCGGGAAGAAGGCCUUCGGGUUGUAAACCGCUUUUGUCAGGGAAGAAAUCCUUUGAGCUAAUACCUCGGGGGGAUGACGGUACCUGAAGAAUAAGCACCGGCUAACUACGUGCCAGCAGCCGCGGUAAUACGUAGGGUGCGAGCGUUAAUCGGAAUUACUGGGCGUAAAGCGUGCGCAGGCGGUCUUGCAAGACAGGUGUGAAAUCCCCGGGCUUAACCUGGGAACUGCACUUGUGACUGCAAGGCUGGAGUACGGCAGAGGGGGAUGGAAUUCCGCGUGUAGCAGUGAAAUGCGUAGAUAUGCGGAGGAACACCGAUGGCGAAGGCAAUCCCCUGGGCCUGUACUGACGCUCAUGCACGAAAGCGUGGGGAGCAAACAGGAUUAGAUACCCUGGUAGUCCACGCCCUAAACGAUGUCAACUGGUUGUUGGACGGCUUGCUGUUCAGUAACGAAGCUAACGCGUGAAGUUGACCGCCUGGGGAGUCGGCCGCAAGGUUGAAACUNAAAGGAAUUGAGGCUUGNGAGNGCGAGCGACGACGAGGAGAGG
rnacentral:rRNA from 1 species